UCACCGAUUCGUUUCUUUGCCGGCGUUAUAGAAUUCCUUCGGGCGAUUUUCUUAUUCUUCCGCGGUAUGGUGCGAAUUUACGCGCAUUUAUCCACCGCCGUGAAGAAAAUAUUAACUCCGGCCCGGAUUUUCAAAGACCCGGGAACAAAAAAAAAAAUCAACGUAAAACAUUCAAAAAAAUAUAACUGCAAUUGCCAUUUAGCGAAACAAUAACCCUAAUAAACGAUCCGAAAACGCCAAACGAAUUUUUUAAAAAGGGAGUAAAAAAACAACGAAAAGUGCAAAAACAAAGUUCCACUUGUUUGAGCGUGCGGAUGAGUGACGUACUGCAGCUAUUAACGAACGUAACGUAAACGAGUCAUAGAAAUCAAAUAUAAAAUGAUUGCCGAUUUUUACUGUUGAAGGAUGCAACCACAUAACGUAAACGAUUUAAGAACAUUGUACGGAAAAUCAAAUUGCGUGAGGUAGUAUUUUGAAUUAUCUAAAUAAAAUCUAU